CCCUUAGAUGUUGUGGGCCGCACGCGUGCUACACUGAGUGGAUCAGCGGGUCAGGUUGCGCGAAAGUGUUUCCUAAUCUUGAAAUCCGCUCGUGAUGGGGAUUGACGGUUGCAAUUUUCCGUCAUGAACGAGGAAUACCUUGUAAGCGCGGGUCAUCAUCCCGCGCUGAAUACGUCCCUGCCCUUUGUACACACCGCCCGUCGCUCCUACCGAUUGAGUGGUCCGGUGAGGCUUUGGGAUCUGAGCGGAAAGAGCGUUUCGCUGUUUCUGCUCGGAAAACUCAGUCGAACCUUAUCAUUUAGAGGAAGGAGAAGUCGUAACA
rnacentral:rRNA from 1 species